rnacentral:rRNA from 1 species
UGGGGAAUAUUGCACAUGGGGGAAACCCUGAUGCAGCGACGCCGCGUGAGCGAAGAAGGUUUUCGAAUCGUAAAGCUCUGUCCUAUGAGAAGAUAAUGACGGUAUCAUAGGAGGAAGCCCCGGCUAAAUACGUGCCAGCAGCCGCGGUAAUACGUAUGGGGCGAGCGUUGUCCGGAAUUAUUGGGCGUAAAGCGCGCGCAGGUGGUUUAGAAAGUCUGAUGUGAAAGCCCACGGCUCAACCGUGGAGGGUCAUUGGAAACUAAUAAACUUGAGUGCAGGAGAGAAAAGUGGAAUUCCUAGUGUAGCGGUGAAAUGCGUAGAGAUUAGGAGGAACACCGGUGGCGAAAGCGGCUUUUUGGCCUGCAACUGACACUGAGGCGCGAAAGCGUGGGGAGCAAACAGG